UACGGGGGGGGCAAGCGUUGUUCGGAAUUACUGGGCGUAAAGGGCUCGUAGGCGGCCAACUAAGUCGGACGUGAAAUCCCUCGGCUUAACCGGGGAACUGCGUCCGAUACUGGAUGGCUUGAGUUCGGGAGAGGGAUGCGGAAUUCCAGGUGUAGCGGUGAAAUGCGUAGAUAUCAGGAGGAACACCGGUGGCGAAGGCGGAUCUCUGGGCCUCACCUGACGCUCAGGUGCGAAAGCUAGGGGAGCGAACAGG
rnacentral:rRNA from 1 species